AUUAGAUGGCUUCAUCAGUUACUACUUGUAAUAUGA
rnacentral:piRNA from 1 species